GUCCCUGUAGCGCAUUGGAUAGCGCGUUGGACUACUAAUCCAAAGGUCGUGGGUUCGAAUCGCACCUGGGUAGGCA